GAUGAACGCUGGCGGCGUGCCUAAUACAUGCAAGUCGAGCGAACGGACGAGAAGCUUGCUUCUCUGAUGUUAGCGGCGGACGGGUGAGUAACACGUGGAUAACCUACCUAUAAGACUGGGAUAACUUCGGGAAACCGGAGCUAAUACCGGAUGAUAUUUUGAACCGCAUGGUUCAAAAGUGAAAGACGGUCUUGCUGUCACUUAUAGAUGUAUCCGCGCUGCAUUAGCUAGUUGGUAAGGUAACGGCUUACCAAGGCAACGAUGCAUAGCCGACCUGAGAGGGUGAUCGGCCACACUGGAACUGAGACACGGUCCAGACUCCUACGGGAGGCAGCAGUAGGGAAUCUUCCGCAAUGGGCGAAAGCCUGACGGAGCAACGCCGCGUGAGUGAUGAAGGUCUUCGGAUCGUAAAACUCUGUUAUUAGGGAAGAACAUAUGUGUAAGUAACUGUGCACAUCUUGACGGUACCUAAUCAGAAAGCCACGGCUAGCUACGUG
rnacentral:rRNA from 1 species